AAUCAACGCUGGCGGCGUGCCUAACACAUGCAAGUCGAACGCGAAAGUGGAGCAAUCCAUGAGUAGAGUGGCAAACGGGUGAGUAACGCGUGGGCGACCUACCUCUGAGUGGGGGAUAACCUUCCGAAAGGAGGGCUAAUACCGCAUGACAUCCCGUGUUUGGAUACACGGACAUCAAAGCCGGGGAUCGCAAGACCUGGCGCUUGGAGAGGGGCCCGCGUCCGAUUAGCUAGUUGGGGAGGUAACGGCUCACCAAGGCGCCGAUCGGUAUCCGGCCUGAGAGGGCGGACGGACACACUGGAACUGAGACACGGCCCAGACUCCUACGGGAGGCAGCAGUGGGGAAUAUUGGACAAUGGGGGGAACCCUGAUCCAGCCAUGCCGCGUGUGUGAAGAAGGCCUUAUGGUUGUAAAGCACUUUAAGCGAGGAGGAGGCUACUGAGACUAAUACUCUUGGAUAGUGGACGUUACUCGCAGAAUAAGCACCGGCUAACUCUGUGCCAGCCGCCGCGGUAAUAC
rnacentral:rRNA from 1 species